GACGAACGCUGGCGGCGUGCUUAACACAUGCAAGUCGAACGGAAAGACCCUGCUUUUGUGGGGUGCUCGAGUGGCGAACGGGUGAGUAACACGUGAGUAACCUGCCCUUGACUUUGGGAUAACUUCAGGAAACUGGGGCUAAUACCGGAUAGGAGCUCCUGCUGCAUGGUGGGGGUUGGAAAGUUUCGGCGGUUGGGGAUGGACUCGCGGCUUAUCAGCUUGUUGGUGGGGUAGUGGCUUACCAAGGCUUUGACGGGUAGCCGGCCUGAGAGGGUGACCGGCCACAUUGGGACUGAGAUACGGCCCAGACUCCUACGGGAGGCAGCAGUGGGGAAUAUUGCACAAUGGGCGGAAGCCUGAUGCAGCAACGCUGCGUGCGGGAUGACGGCCUUCGGGUUGUAAACCGCUUUCGCCUGUGACGAAGCGUGAGUGACGGUAAUGGGUAAAGAAGCACCGGCUAACUACGUG
rnacentral:rRNA from 1 species